AGUAUUUUGCAAGCUCCCGCAAUUUUUGCAAGUUCCUGCAAUUUCAUCGCAUAAAAUUGCAUAACUAUCUCGCCUCUUUAAAGAAAACAUGCUGCGUAAUUGAGGAUUU